UGGGGAAUAUUGGACAAUGGGCGCAAGCCUGAUCCAGCCAUGCCGCGUGAGUGAAGAAGGCCUUAGGGUUGUAAAGCUCUUUCAGUCGUGACGAUGAUGACGGUAGCGACAGAAGAAGCCCCGGCUAACUCCGUGCCAGCAGCCGCGGUAAUACGGAGGGGGCAAGCGUUAAUCGGAAUUACUGGGCGUAAAGCGCGCGUAGGCGGUAAGUUAAGCAAGCUGUGAAAGCCCCGGGCUCAACCUGGGAACUGCAGUUUGAACUGGCUUGCUGGAGUACAGCAGAGGAUAGUGGAAUUUCUAGUGUAGCGGUGAAAUGCGUAGAUAUUAGAAGGAACACCAGUGGCGAAGGCGACUGUCUGGGCUGAUACUGACGCUGAGGUGCGAAAGCGUGGGGAGCAAACAGGAUUAGAUACCCCCGUAGUCC
rnacentral:rRNA from 1 species